rnacentral:rRNA from 1 species
UACGAAGGGGACUAGCGUUGUUCGGAAUCACUGGGCGUAAAGCGCACGUAGGCGGAUUCGUAAGUCAGGGGUGAAGUCCCGGGGCUCAACCUCGGAACUGCCUUUGAUACUGCGGGUCUUGAGUCCGAUAGAGGUGGGUGGAAUUCCUAGUGUAGAGGUGAAAUUCGUAGAUAUUAGGAAGAACACCGGUGGCGAAGGCGGCCCACUGGAUCGGUACUGACGCUGCGGUGCGAAAGCGUGGGGAGCAAACAGG